GUUCUGUCUUCGGCAGCACGUAUACUAAAAUUGGAAUGAUACAGAGAAGACUGACAUGGCCUCUGCUCAGGGAUGACACGCAAAUUUGUGAAGUGUUCCAUAUUUUC
ensembl:snRNA U6 U6 spliceosomal RNA